CCAUUGUAGAGGGACCUCACGGGUAGAUCUAAAACUGCGGGAAUUCAAACUACGUAAUCAACCUUAAACCCUAGACGGUCAAAGUCAUUCUUCUUCUUCUCGUUUCAAAGCCGCAACGAUAAAUCUCUCUCGCUGGCUUUAAAUCUUCUUGGACGAAACGCACCGUUUUUGCACUGCAAUGCCCUUCGCUCUUUGCUCUUGAAUCGCCUGAGUUAUUAUCUACUUCACGAUAUGGCAACAGACAGCGGGAAAAGUUUUGCGAGGAGAGACCGAUUAUUGGAGAUUGAGGCUAAGGCUAGGACUUGGUGGGAGGAAAGUGAUGUUUUUAAAGCUGAAGCUGGUGAAAAGCCUCCUGAACAAGGUGAAAAGUUCUUUGGAAACUUCCCGUUUCCGUACAUGAAUGGGUAUUUGCAUCUAGGGCAUGCAUUUUCGCUUUCCAAGCUUGAAUUCGCAGCAGCUUAUCAUAGACUGAGAGGGGCAAAUGUUCUCUUGCCCUUCGGUUUCCACUGCACUGGUAUGCCCAUUAAGGCAUCAGCUGAUAAGCUUGCACGAGAAAUUAAGAUGUUUGGUGAACCACCGGUAUUUCAUAAAGAAGUUGAGGAAGAAGAAGAAGAGCGGCCAGCACCUGAGGACACCAGUGGUGCACCACCAGAUAAGUUUAAGGGCAAGAAAUCUAAGGCUGCGGCUAAAUCUGGUGGACAGGUGUUCCAGUGGGAGAUUAUGCGCAGUUUUGGACUUUCUGAUAGUGAGAUAUCAGAAUUUCAGAAUCCAGAAAAAUGGCUCAAGUUUUUUCCUCCCUUGGCCAAGGAAGACUUGAGAUCUUUUGGCUUGGGCUGUGACUGGAGGCGCUCCUUUGUCACUACAGAGAUAAACCCAUUUUUUGAUUCCUUUGUAAAGUGGCAGAUGAGGAAGUUAAAAGCCAUGGGUAAGAUCAUUAAAGAUGUGAGGUACACAAUAUACUCUCCCUUGGAUGACCAGCCAUGCGCUGAUCAUGAUAGGUCGACUGGUGAAGGAGUUCAGCCCCAGGACUAUACUCUUAUCAAGAUGGAGGUGCUGCCACCUUUCUCGUCUAAAUUGAAAUCUCUAACGGAUAAAAACAAAAAGGUGUUUCUGGUUGCGGCUACACUGAGACCAGAGACCAUGUAUGGGCAAACAAAUGCAUGGGUAUUGCCAGAUGGGAAGUAUGGAGCAUAUGAAAUUAAUGAUACUGAUGUGUUUAUUCUGACAGAGAGAGCAGCCCUUAACCUUGCCUAUCAGAAUUUCUCUAAGAUCCCCAAGAAGACCAGCUGCUUGUUGGAGUUGACUGGUUCUGAUUUGAUUGGUCUUCCUUUAAAGUCUCCGCUUUCAGUUAAUGAGGUCAUAUAUGCACUUCCCAUGUUAACCAUUCUAACUGAUAAAGGCACAGGGAUUGUGACCAGUGUUCCUAGUGACGCCCCUGAUGAUUAUAUGGCACUGCAUGAUUUGAAAGCAAAACCAGCUCUCCGGGCUAAGUUUGGUGUGAAGGAGGAGUGGAUUUAUGAUAUUGUACCCAUAAUCAACAUUCCUGAAUUUGGAGAUAAAUCUGCUGAAAAAGUUUGCUUGGAUCUGAAAAUUAAAAGCCAGAAUGAGAAAGAUAAGCUUGCAGAAGCUAAGAGGUUGACAUACUUGAGAGGAUUCACAGAGGGCACGAUGCUUGUUGGAGAAUAUGCUGGGAGAAAGGUCCAGGAAGCUAAGCCAUUGCUUAGGAGUAUGCUUAUAGAAACAGGACAGGCAAUUAUGUAUAGUGAGCCUGAAAAGCGGGUCAUGUCAAGGUCAGGCGAUGAAUGUGUUGUGGCUCUAACAGACCAAUGGUACAUCACGUAUGGAGAAGAAGAAUGGAAGAAACUGACUGAGCAGUGCUUAUCCAACAUGAAUCUCUAUUCUGAUGAGACACGACAUGGCUUUGAGCACACUUUAAGUUGGCUAAAUCAAUGGGCUUGCUCACGAUCUUUUGGCCUUGGAACCCGCAUUCCUUGGGAUUCAGAGUUCCUUGUCGAGUCAUUAUCUGAUUCCACCAUUUAUAUGGCUUAUUACACAGUAGCUCACCUCUUGCAUGAAGGGGACAUGUAUGGAAAAACUACUGGCCUGAUAGAACCUGGACAAAUGACAGAUGAAGUCUGGGAAUUUAUCUUCUGUGAUGGUCCAUAUCCCAAAUCAUCCAGUAUCCCAUCACCUAUUCUUAACAAGAUGAAGCAGGAGUUUGAAUACUGGUACCCAUUUGAUCUUCGAGUUUCUGGUAAGGAUCUCAUCCAAAAUCAUUUGACAUUCUGCAUUUAUAACCACACUGCUAUUAUGUCCAAGAAGCACUGGCCCCGUGGAUUUAGGUGUAAUGGGCAUAUAAUGCUCAAUUCUGAAAAGAUGUCUAAGUCUACUGGUAAUUUUAGGACAUUGAAACAGGCCAUUGAGGAAUUUUCAGCAGAUGCAACACGAUUUUCUCUAGCUGAUGCUGGGGAUGGUGUUGACGAUGCAAAUUUUGUUUUUGACACUGCAAAUACUGGAAUUCUUCGUUUGACUAAGGAGAUCACAUGGAUGGAAGAGGUUUUGUGUGCAGAAACGUCUUUGAGAACAGGACUGGCAUCAACUUAUGCUGACAGGGUGUUUGAGAAUGAGAUAAAUAUUGCUGUAAAAAUGACUGAACAGAAUUAUGCAAACUACAUGUUUCGAGAAGCUCUUAAAACUGGUUUUUAUGAUCUUCAAGCUGCAAGGGAUGAAUACAGGUUCUCUUGUGGUGCUGGGGGUAUGAACAGAGAUUUGGUGUGGCGUUUUAUGGAUGUGCAGACGCGGCUUAUUACUCCAAUCUGCCCUCACUACGCAGAGUAUGUUUGGAGGGAGCUCUUGAAGAAGGAUGGUUUGGCAGUUAAAGCAGGUUGGCCUACAGCUGGCACUCCUGAUCUGACCCUCAAGCGUGCUAAUAAGUAUUUGCAAGACUCGAUUGUUUUGAUGAGGAAGCUGCUUCAAAAGCAAAUUCUGGGUUCAAAGAAAGCCAACAAGAAGGGGAUUCCGGUUGCAUCACUAACUGAGGACAAGUUAAAAGGCUUGAUAUAUGUGAAUGAGCAAUUUGAUGGAUGGAAAGCAGAGUGCCUGAAGAUACUCCAAAGCAAAUACGACAGUAAGAAUCGAACCUUUGCUCCAGACAAAGAGAUAAUGGAGGCCUUGCAAAAGAGCUCAGUUGGUCAGGCAACAAACUUUAAACAGACCCAAAAGCUUUGUAUGCCUUUCUUGAGAUUUAAGAAAGAUGAGGCAAUAACAAUUGGUUCUCAUGCUUUGGACUUGAAACUUCCUUUUGGAGAGAUCGAUGUCCUUCAGGAGAACUUGGACUUGAUUAAGAGGCAGCUUGCACUUGAAGAGGUGGAAAUAUUAUCUGCCACUGACCCUGAUGCUCUUGCCAAAGCUGGUUCUCUUACUUCUCUUCUAAGCCAGAAUCCUCCUUCCCCUGGAAAUCCAACUGCAAUCUUCUUGUCCAAGUAAGGAAAAAUAUAUAUUUUGUUUCUUGGUCUUCGGGGUCAUGUCCUUUGUUGGUUGGUGCACUGAGGUAGUCGAAAUUCUUUGAUUCGGAGAUUUUGAUUUGCAGACUGGAAACUGAGGAUUUUCCUAUAUUUAUUAAUUUCAGACAACCUCAAAGUGAUCACAGAACAAAAUUUUUGUUUUCCAUAUGCCAGAAAACUGGUUUUUGUUAGUCUUGCUGUCUUUUUUAGGUGAGAAUUGAUUAAUAUUUAUACAUUCUUUUGGAGAAAUAUAAUGUUUAUGUACUUUGUAGAUCUGAUGAUGCUUCUUUAUAAAUUAUUUUUCAGUUCA